UACGGAGGAUGCAAGCGUUAUCCGGAAUGAUUGGGCGUAAAGGGUCCGCAGGCGGCAAUUUAAGUCUGCUGUCAAAGAAUGAGGCUUAACCUCAUCAAGGCAGUGGAAACUACAUAGCUAGAGUACGGUCGGGGUAGAAGGAAUUCCUGGUGUAGCGGUGAAAUGCGUAGAGAUCAGGAAGAACACCGGUGGCGAAAGCGUUCUGCUAGACCUGUACUGACACUGAGGGACGAAAGCGAGGGGAGCGAAUGGG
rnacentral:rRNA from 1 species